CGUGUACUCCCACCGUCCGAAAAAACUUGUCUCAAACUUGUUUCUCAAUUGAAUGUAUCUAGCACUAACUUGUGCUAGAUACAUCCAUUUAAGGGACAAUUUUUUUCGGACGAAAGGGAGUAUGUA
rfam:Triticum aestivum genome assembly, contig: Triticum_aestivum_CS42_TGACv1_scaffold_576909_7BL